UACUCACUGAUAAGUGGAUACUAGCCCAA
rnacentral:piRNA from 1 species